CGAUACAGGGUGACAGCCCCGUACACAAAAGCGCAUGUGCUGUGAGCUCGAUGAGUAGGGCGGGACACGUGGUAUCCUGUCUGAAUAUGGGGGGACCAUCCUCCAAGGCUAAAUACUCCUGACUGACCGAUAGUGAACCAGUACCGUGAGGGAAAGGCGAAAAGAACCCCGGCGAGGGGAGUGAAAAAGAACCUGAAACCGUGUACGUACAAGCAGUGGGAGCCCCACCACCAAAGCAUUCUCUGGUGUUGAAGGCCCUGCAAAGCAGCAUCGCGGUGGCGGAGCGUCGUUUGCGACGCCCAACACACAAAACAAGCGGUGAGUGCUUUGGGGUGGGGUGACUGCGUACCUUUUGUAUAAUGGGUCAGCGACUUAUAUUCUGUAGCAAGGUUAACCGAAUAGGGGAGCCGGAGGGAAACCGAGUCUUAAUUGGGCGUUAAGUUGCAGGGUAUAGACCCGAAACCCGGUGAUCUAGCCAUGGGCAGGUUGAAGGUUGGGUAACACUAACUGGAGGACCGAACCGACUAAUGUUGAAAAAUUAGCGGAUGACCUGUGGCUGGGGGUGAAAGGCCAAUCAAACCGGGAGAUAGCUGGUUCUCCCCGAAAGCUAUUUAGGUAGCGCCUCGUGAAUUCAUCUCCGGGGGUAGAGCACUGUUUCGGCUAGGGGGCCAUCCCGGCUUACCAACCCGAUGCAAACUGCGAAUACCGGAGAAUGUUAUCACGGGAGACACACGGCGGGUGCUAACGUCCGUCGUGAAGAGGGAAACAACCCAGACCGCCAGCUAAGGUCCCAAAGUCAUGGUUAAGUGGGAAACGAUGUGGGAAGGCCCAGACAGCCAGGAUGUUGGCUUAGAAGCAGCCAUCAUUUAAAGAAAGCGUAAUAGCUCACUGGUCGAGUCGGCCUGCGCGGAAGAUGUAACGGGGCUAAACCAU
rnacentral:rRNA from 1 species